rnacentral:misc_RNA from 1 species
CAUGCUCAUCUACUCACACAUGCAAGAAUAAGGAGAACGCUGUAUUAUCUUUUCCCCCCUCUCAUCGAGUUUGCGCUUUUCUCUCUCCCGCUCACCGUCGUUGUUCACAUCACCACAUCCUUUGCCGCUGUGUGCGCAUCUCUGUGUGACUGCGCGCAGCUUUCGAGGAACGUCAUCCGCAGCACACAGACCGGCUUUGUUUUCUCUUCCACGGCGCUCUUCUCAUCUAUCAAAACGCGCACGCGCAUUCAUACAAAGUUGCGUCUUGUUAGGCAUUCCGCUGUCGCACCUGUGAACCGACAAGUAGCCGUGCGCGCCGUCGAUUCGCCGGCUUGUCGCUCGCCAGAUAUCAGCACUCAGCAGCUACUUAGUGUUUUUCUUUUGGAGGAUUUUCUGGUAGACCGGCAUCAUUUUUGCUCCAUCUUGGCUGUGCUCUCGUUUCCUUGCCGCCAACACUCCCCCGCAAACAUCCAGCCAUGCUCGCUGACGUUGCCGCGCCGUCGUCGUCGUCAACGGCGCCGGGGAGCAACACCGCCGUCUCUGACUACUUUCUUCAAAAGAUCCACGAGCUGCGCGCGACGCAGAAGCGAACCCUCGACAAUUUCGAGCGCCUCGAAGCCCAGCGCAAUGACCUUAACCGCCGUGUCCGCCACCUCAAGGAGGAGGUGCAGAUGCUGCAGGAAUCCGGCUCCCUGGUCGUGGACGUUGUCAGAGUAAUGGGCAAGAACAAGGUGCUGGUGAAGGCCGGUUCUGGGCAGGGAAAGAUGGUCGUGGAUGUGGACAAGUCGGUGGACUUCAAGGACUUGACCCCCAACGCCCGCGUUGCCCUGCGCAGCGGCACCUCGGCAAUCCACUACAUUCUGCCCACGAAGGUCGACCCGCUCGUGUCUCUCAUGAAGGUCGAGAAGGCUGGCAAAGAGUCGACCUAUGACGAGAUCGGCGGUCUGUCGCGCCAGGUGAAGGAGAUCAAGGAAGUGAUCGAGCUCCCCGUGAAGCACCCAAAGCUGUUCGAGGCUCUUGGCAUUGAGCAGCCGAAGGGUGUGCUUCUGUAUGGCCCGCCUGGCACCGGUAAGACGCUGCUUGCGCGCGCGGUGGCACACCACACCGACUGCACCUUUAUCCGUGUCAGUGGCGCGGAGCUGGUGCAGAAGUACAUCGGCGAGGGUGCCCGCAUGGUGCGUGAGUUGUUCGUUAUGGCGCGUGAGCACAGCCCCUCAAUCAUUUUCAUGGAUGAAAUCGACUCCAUCGGCUCCUCGCGCUUGGAGUCGGGCGAGAACGGUGACAGCGAGGUGCAGCGUACCAUGCUUGAGCUCCUGAACCAGUUGGAUGGCUUUGAGGCCUCCAAAAACAUCAAGGUGAUUAUGGCGACCAACCGCAUGGACAUCCUUGACGAGGCGCUGCUGCGCCCUGGUCGCAUCGACCGUAAGAUUGAGUUUCCCGCCCCGGACGAAGCAGCCCGCUUUGAGAUUCUCAAGAUCCACUCGCGCAAGAUGAAUCUGACACGCGGCAUUGACCUCAAGGACAUUGCCAAGAAAACGUCCAACUGCUCUGGCGCCGAGCUGAAGGCGGUGUGCACCGAGGCAGGCAUGUUUGCUCUACGCGAGCGCCGCGUGCACAUCACGCACGAGGACUUUGUGCUCGCUGUUGCCAAGGUGAUGCACAAGGACCAGGACAAGAACGUGUCGUUGAAGAAGAUGUGGAAGUAGAAAAAGGUAGAUGACCGAAGAAGGCGACAGGAAACCUGUGACCAUCUGCUCAUGCUGCCAUGCACACUGCGAGCGUGUCUGUGUGCGUCUCUUGUACGCCUUCGUCCCGUGAUAGUGCGUGUCACGCAGGCCGGCUGUCUGCCGGGCAUACUGCGUUGACGACUCUGCCUCGGCAUCCGCCUUCCUUUUCGUCGUGCUCUCGUCAUCCCUCUUGUUUUCAGACGACGUCGAGGUGUCGGCGAAGACUCCCUUGCGUGAACACACGUGCGCGCGUGCAAAAGGAUGCGUUUGUGCGUGUGCGUGCGUCUGUGCACCCCGCGCGCUGCCGCUAAGGUUUUGCGUGGAUGGUGCGAAGAGAUGUACGCCGCUGCUUCUGCCCUCUGUUGCCUCCUUUCGGGUGUGUUGAGGGCAAUCGUCUCCUCACAACGUCUUUCCUUUUUUUUUUGUUUCGCGCUUGUAUGUGUACGUGCCCGCUUGGGUUUGUUCAUGUUUCUGUGUGUUGGUGCCCGUGUGUGCUUGUCUCUCGGCGUUUGCUAGCUGGUGACUUUCAGCGUCCCAAGCAGCUGAAAGGCGAAAGGCGAGCGGGAGAGAGAGAGCGGCAAUGGUGGCCGUGACGGCUAUCGCUCGUGCGUGUGUGCAUAGACUGUUUUGUGUUGGGGAUGAGGCAGUGGAGCGGGACAGGUGGCAGCCAUCACCGAAGAGAAUACAUGGAAAUGAGUGACGAAAGUGGAGCUCACCACUGUGAAUUGUCUCUCUCUCUCUAUGCAUACUUCCGAGUGGCCACGCUGCGUCUAGCGGUUGUCGCGGCGCUGGUUUGUGACGUACUGGUGGGUGCGUGCCGCUGCCUUCCGCUUGCGUGCCCUCUGCCGCUGCUCGACUCUGUACUACCUCCCUUGCACGAUGCCCUCUGGCCGGCCUCUUCGUCUUCCAGUCCUGUGUGAACUGCGGCGGUGCUGGCUUCGUCUUUUCUGAAUUUGUGGGAAGGAUGCAAAUCGAACAAACCAAAGACAGCCCGGGCGGAUACACACCGCCACCUGCAAUAUUCCGCCGUGCUCCGUAGGUUCCGUCUGUGUGCACGGAGGAUCUCGUGCAUUGGCUCACCUCGCCGCGCUGCGGCACUGGUCAACUG